GGGCACAGCAGUGUGUGAAAACUUGGAGAAGCUUCAAGGGACAAGAUAUGUCUUAGGCAAGAAGGAGCCAUUACCUGGUGCACAAAAGCCACCCGGAAGCUCAGGGGCACAGAGAAUGGUGCUAUCCAGCCUGCUUAGAACCGAAAGCAUCACAAACCCAGCACCUCUAAUAAGGAGACUCAUAUCCCUGGGGUGAUUCUGGAGAUGAAGGACAACCAGACCAGGAAAACCAAAAUAUUGCCAGUACAGCUUCAGGUGAUACUGGUUACCUAAAGGAGCCUCCCAGUCUCUACAUGCUAAUCCUCAGGGCACAGCAGCUAAAAUCCAAAUGCACCUAAGUUUUGCAAUUGAAGAUGCAGGCAGCAUCAGCAACAGGCAUCUUCAGCAUGGACAGUGCACUGACUGAUUUUUCAAGUGGGAGGAGCCUUCCCUGGGAAGGAGAAGGGCUACAAGGCCUGACACGACACCAUUGAGGCUGACGAAAUAGAGGCUUGGCAGCAAGAGAUGUGUGUGUCAUUCAUUACAGGUUUAGGCUUAAUGACAGCCUCUUGCCCUUGAUCUUUGGAGCUGUGUGAGGGAGCACAGGGGAGGAAGAGCUUAAAUGUCAGCUCUGCACCGAGGCAGGAAAACUCCCUGCAUUAGCGGCGGCUGGCCAGGAUGAGGUCCCGUCACGGUGGGAGCAUCUCAUCAGACAUGCUGAGAGCAGCCGUGACAAAUCAGGAAGCUCCUGCCGUUGGCUUGGUGGGAUUAAUUAAUUUCCACAUUGUCACUGCCUCCAAUUAACUCUGAGGCUGCAGGCUGGGACCUGCUGGGUUUUGGUGGGGAAGGAUCGGCAGGGUAAUGAAGGCUGGUAUGUGGGAGCUGCUUGGCAGCACAGGGGCAGGGUCUCAUCUGCAUGUAUGGGAAGAGAAAUGUGUCUGGAAGGAAGUAAAAAUACAAUACCAGUAUAGCAGUGCAAAG
rnacentral:lncRNA from 7 species